CCAACAGUUAUAACGGAAAAGGAACGUCACAAAGUCAACGUCAGCACGCAAGCCCCGCCCACUGCCUGCUCAGGUACCUUGUCAGUGUAAUGUCAUCAAUAUAGUGGACCAAUGUGACAUUUUGUGGAAGAGACAAGUGAUCAAGAUCUCUUUAGGGGAUGGAGAGUUGGCUCAAAGGUGUCACUACAUAGCUCCAGCUGUCCUGGAACUAGGUAACCAGGCUCGCUGAAAGGCAGGAGAUCCAUCCACAUGCCUCUGACCCUGAAAUCAAACUGACCAGCUACCCAACUUCAUCUUAAUAAAAGAGCAGAGCCAUCACUGUUCAAGGUUUUAUUUGGCAUGACACUUGGGUGGUUGGUUCCAUCAUCCAUAUGCAGAUCUUACAUCUCACAUAAUAUUGCAAUGCACACUACAGACACAUAUAAUAUAUAAAAUA